AUUGUUCCCUCUCGCGAUGGUCCAACGAGCGUUUUUUUUUUUGCCGCACGAAAUAGUCGCGCGAAAUGUAAUCAGAUUUAAUUGGUUCGUGCGUCUAACGACACGAAACCGAGAUCACGACGAACGAUCGUGGAAUCGUUGACACAUGGGGUUAGUGAGUAGACUGCGAGACUCGAACUGCACGUGAAUUGCCAGUUCACGCGAAACUCGAACACGUGGUGCAUUUCUGGAUCAAAGUUCCGCUACGUAACUGUAUCCGUAACCUUUCUUUCCUCGCUGCGAAGAUAAGAUUGCACACGUAUGCGGAUUGAACGAGUUAUUAGACAUCACGUAAAUAGGGUGCCCUCUCCCCUCUUCGAUUCCGUUUGGUUAAGGGCGAAAUGUCAGUGCCAGAGAGGCUGGCGAUUCUCGAGGCACCGAUGUUGCGCACGGCUUGCGCGUUUCGUACUGGCUGUUUCAAGAAAGACCGUUAUCGCUCGACGUGUAGUCUCGGGAACCCAUAGGAAAUACGACGAGGAAUCGCUACAGUUUGUAAUCGUCGUUGCCGGUGAUGCUCUCGUAAGGGGAGCUCACAAAGAAGCAAUUGCAUCUCCCUUUGCUACAGAUUCGUUUUAUGACCAUUUACAUGGCCCUCACGACCAUGGUACGUGUACAGUGAGUAUAAACAUUUUCUGCAGCUCCAUUUAUUGAUACAUUUUCACGACACGAGCGUGGACAAUGGAGCGUAGCGUGGCGCAAUAAUUUAUCUGUUCGAUGAGUAACGCGCGAGUUCUUUAUCUUUUGUUCGUCACUUGAAGUGUUUAUCUACACUGGUAUUUUGCUUACCUUUGUCUACACAGAUGGUUACCAACUCGCGUACACGGUGACCCGAGCGUUCCAUGAAUUGUAUUCGUCUCCAAGUUCAUCUUCCAAGAAUUGAAAAUUCCUUCUCUAAAUGGACUGUCUCGGGCUUGGUAAUGUUGACGUAGAAAGAUAUAUACACCCGUACGUUGCGUGUAUGUAAACUCGAUGGCUAUUUUUGGAUACGCGAAUCUUCGGGACGGCUUCCCCGAACUGGUUCUCCCGCGUGAAAGAAAGUGACUGGACGAGUAGAGACUAGAGCGGCCAUUGACGCCAUAGUGGCAUCACCUGUGGGUGUUAUAACGAGCCUCUUAAACCGAGUAAUUACGCUUUCUGUUCGAAUCUUAUUAGGAAGGAUUGGUUAUAUAACGAUUGAUUUCUUGCUUUAACGUUAUAUCUUUUCUCGCUUUCGCAAGAAUAUUCAUCAUCCGGAGUAGGUCUACUGUACGAGAAUAUGCGCAGGUCGUUACCAAGAAUUCGUCGACCAGGAAGUGCUGUUCCAUCGCAGUAAUCUCAGAAAAGACUAUAAAACGACUAAUCUUUUUCCACCUGUGUGCGUAAAUCUCUCUCGCGCCAAACUGUUUUUCCUGCGGUUCUCCAGUGAUAAAUACGGCAUCUGGGCCCGCUGAAAGUCUUACGAUUAGAAAAUCGUCCGGUGAGUCAGCAGCGACCAUUAGGAAUGAAAAUUCACCGAGAACGUAAUCGCGCAGUCCAAUUAUCGGACGGAAUGACCGCGCAUCGCUUACGCAGUACCGCUGCCGUUCACGGGCUCCAUCUUUCCGAAGGAAUCGGUGGAAAGUAAGCGCGUUAUUUUAGGAGAGAGCUACUCAGCUGCUCAACGAACCCGUGUAGCCGAUGGCUGUAUAAUUUCACCGAAGCUCGAGUGGAGAUGCUUGAUCUUUGGUCGUCUCGGUUCUGACAUAGGUGUAUGCAAAUAUAUACAUACGCUCCUGGUCAAAAGUAUUUCCCAACGCACAGGAAAAAAAUUUCCAAGAUUUUGUACGAUAACACGAGAAUAUAGUAUCACUUAUGUAUGUACUAUAUAUGUACAGUUUCACGAAGUUACUCGUUCACUAUGAACAAGGACUUACAAAACGUGAUUGAUCAUGACUGGCUUCCUUUUCAAUUAUUCAACGAAAAAAAUUGCGAUAUAUGUUUAUUAUCUAUUUUAAUCGCACGUAGUAAGAAUGUUCGCGAGCAAGGAGGAAAAUAAUGCGACACGAACAACGGAAGAUAUCGUGAUUCAUUUACUCUGUUUAUUUCAUCUUAUGUACACAGUCGUAGAUAAAUACAGAGCUGACACCUUUCCGGAUUUCGUUACAAAAACUCCGGCUUUAAUGCCGAUAUUCAAGGUUGCUACAUUUAAUGAAAAUAUUUGUUGCAGUUCACCGUAGGGUGUGCACAUAAUCCCUUCUUUCGAGAUUAGGAAGUUUAGUUAGGAAAAUGGAACCUAACAAUGGAACGUUAAUCUUUUUCUUAAACAGAUAACAACAUUUCAUUUUUAAAAGCAUAAUUAUGUAUUAUUAUUUAAGGAAUCGAAUAACGAGUGUUCCUGGACAAGGUUUUUACAAGACUUUUAUCGUCGACUAGUUAACUAUCACUUUUGGUUCAUAAUAGUGAUUCACAUGUUGCAGAACAAUAUGUCACGAGAUAUCAGUAUGCUGCGAUAUGAAACAAUGGGACAAUGAAAGACCACUAUUAUUCGUCUCGCCUUAAUGGCUUUCACAUGAAAGGAAGUUCGGUUUAAAACAUAAUUUCGUCUAAAUAAAUUACGCAAUCCUGUCAGCGAAUUUCACCAGCUUUUCGCCGUUGCUAUCCGCCCUCUGUCCCUUAACCGUUUGCAUUCGAGGCCUUUUUUUCUGGUAUCUACCAGCAACUCGAGAUGUUUUCUUAGCAUUCUAUUGCCAUGAAUUCUAAGCUUAAUCAGGCCACCUUUACCUUGUCGACAACCAUUUUAUCGACACUUCGAACUCCAAAGAAAUUAAGCCUAAAGAAACAUUUGUAGAUAAUUAAAUCUAAAGAAACAAUUAUAGAUUUGCUGCUUGAAACCUAAUGGCGACUGAGAGUCAUCUCUCGAGUGCAAAGGGUUAAUCCUGCAAUCAACGUAGCAACACGGAAAGGUGGCGCAGCCAUAAUUGAACGAGAUCUAACAAGCUCAAGGACUAUGUACAACCGCACACACGGAGAGCCGUGAACACGUUUUCACGGCUUUGGUCCUUUCUCUGGCACAUUAACGACGCUUGGCGUCGAGUGAAAACGGUUAUCACCUUUCUAUACACUUCGUAAAUCCAACGAGCGCCGAAAACGUUCCGCCAGGUGGCCGUUGGCCCAACUACCAAUUUCUUUUAACAAAUCGCGUGACUUUUCUGUCCACGGUUUCUCCUUUUUACAGAGGCGAUUGCAUCGCGCCUGUUUCGGCCGAUUUGGAAAUUUUUAUCGGGCAACGUUCCCUUAGAAGUAUGUCGAAUUGCCAAAGACCCAGAAGCGUAGCAGCGGCUUUAUGCAACGGUGACCAGGUUAGUUUCGUCGAAAGUA